rnacentral:rRNA from 1 species
AGAGUUUGAUCAUGGCUCAGAAUGAACACUGGCGGCGUGCUUAACACAUGCAAGUCGAACGAGAAAGGGAUUGCUUGCAAUCCUGAGUAGAGUGGCGCACGGGUGAGUAACACGUAGAUAAUCUACCUUCAAGCCUGGGAUAACUGUUUGAAAGAGCAGCUAAUACCGGAUAAAGUAUGUUAACAUAAGUUAACCUAUGAAAGGUUGCCUCUUCUUGAAAGCAAUUGUUUGGAGAUGAGUCUGCGGGCCAUUAGCUUGUUGGUGGGGUAAAGGCCUACCAAGGCUGCGAUGGUUAGCUGGUCUGAGAGGAUGAUCAGCCACACUGGAACUGGAACACGGUCCAGACUCCUACGGGAGGCAGCAGUGAGGAAUUUUGCGCAAUGGGGUAACCCCUGACGCAGCAACGCCGCGUGAGUGAAGAAGGCCUUUGGGUCGUAAAGCUCUGUCAACUGGGAAGAAGUUACAUUAUAUUAAUAGUAUAUUGUAUUGACGGUACCAGUGGAGGAAGCGCCGGCUAACUCCGUGCCAGCAGCCGCGGUAAUACGGGGGGCGCAAGCGUUAUUCGGAAUUAUUGGGCGUAAAGGGCGCGUAGGCGGUUUUGUCGGUCAGAUGUGAAAGCCCAGGGCUCAACCCUGGNACGUGCAUUUGAAACAGCAAGACUUGAGUACGGGAGAGGAAAGCGGAAUUCCUGGUGUAGAGGUGAAAUUCGUAGAUAUCAGGAGGAACACCGAUGGCGAANGCAGCUUUCUGGACCGAUACUGACGCUGAGGCGCGAAGGCGUGGGUAGCGAACAGGANUANAUACCCUGGUAGUCCACGCAGUAAACGAUGUUCACUAGGUGUAGCGGGUAUUAAAAUCUGCUGUGCCGNAGCUAA